AAUGAUAUGGAAAAACCUAGUGAAAUUAUUCAUGUUAGAGCAAAGAGAGGCCAAGCUACAGAUAGUCACAGUUUGGCUGAAAGAGUAAGAAGAGAGAAAAUCAAUGAGAAGCUUAGGUUCUUACAGGACCUUGUUCCAGGAUGCUAUAAGACAAUGGGAAUGGCUGUAAUGUUGGAUGUGAUAAUCAAUUAUGUUCAGUCUCUUGAGAAUCAAAUUGAA